rnacentral:lncRNA from 1 species
GUCUUCAUUUUUCAGACCCGGCUGGUUCCACCAUUUCCUUCCACACUCCACGUCGUUCCCCCCAUUUCCUUCUCCUUUUCCAACCAACAAAAAUGGAGCAGCCAUCACAGCCACCCUCUUCCCCUUCAUCACUAUUUCUCUUCUUCUUCUUCUUCUUUUUCAUCUUCUUCUUCACUGGAGCUCCCUCAUUUCUCUUCACCGCUCCUUUCCCAGCAACCAGAGAAGCCGCCUCCGUCCCGCUGGCCAUUUUUUUUCUCUUCUUCUUUCCCACAAAUCAGCCUCCACCAUAACCCAUAACUGAUCUCCCCACCUUCACCACAGCAGCCCUCUCACUCCGCCUCUCAGCAUCUUCACCCGACCGCGAGCAGCCCACACAACGACUCUUUUCUUCCUUGGCCGACUACCAGUAGCAACGAAGAAGCAACAAACCCGAUCUCCUCAGCACCGCCACCGAUCUCCCCACAACUGAAGAACCCAGCGAUGACCACACAACAACCUUCAACGGUGCCCACGGACGACAGCGCCACCGCCCGAUCUGCCACCUGAAGCAGAGGAGAAGAAGAAGAAACACAUACAGAUCUGUAAAAGAAGCAGAUCUGCCAAAAAGAAGAAAAAAACAGAAGCAGAUUUUAAAACAAAGAGAACAAAAUUAAAAUCAACUGCAUGUUGUGUUGUUGUUUGUUUUGCAGGUCACCGCCGACGUAGGAAGACAGAGAAGAGG